AAAUUGAAGAGUUUGAUCAUGGCUCAGAUUGAACGCUGGCGGCAGGCCUAACACAUGCAAGUCGAACGGUAACAGGAAGCAGCUUGCUGCUUCGCUGACGAGUGGCGGACGGGUGAGUAAUGUCUGGGAAACUGCCUGAUGGAGGGGGAUAACUACUGGAAACGGUAGCUAAUACCACAUAACGUCGCAAGACCAA
rnacentral:rRNA from 1 species